CCUACGGGCGGCAGCAGUGAGGAAUAUUGGUCAAUGGACGAGAGUCUGAACCAGCCAAGUAGCGUGAAGGAUGACUGCCCUAUGGGUUGUAAACUUCUUUUAUAAAGGAAUAAAACGAGGCACGUGUGCCUUUUUGCAUGUACUUUAUGAAUAAGGAUCGGCUAACUCCGUGCCAGCAGCCGCGGUAAUACGGAGGAUCCGAGCGUUAUCCGGAUUUAUUGGGUUUAAAGGGAGCGUAGGUGGAUUGUUAAGUCAGUUGUGAAAGUUUGCGGCUCAACCGUAAAAUUGCAGUUGAAACUGGCAGUCUUGAGUACAGUAGAGGUGGGCGGAAUUCGUGGUGUAGCGGUGAAAUGCUUAGAUAUCACGAAGAACUCCGAUUGCGAAGGCAGCCUGCUGGACUGUAACUGACGCUGAGGCGCGAAAGCGUGGGGAGCAAA
rnacentral:rRNA from 1 species